AUGUUCAUCUCUGUAUCUGUUUGGGAUGGACAGAUGUUGCAGGACAUGGAUCAGCGGCUGCAGGAGGAAGGGUUGGACUCCUCGGCCUCCAGCGAUGAGCGUCUGUCUCUGCUGUGGCAGCUUUACAGGAGCAGCGAAAGUACCGUGAGAUCCCUCAAACAGCAGAUACAAGAUCUGCAGAAAGAACGUGUUGCUGAGAUUGAAAAUGUUCAGCAAUAUGUUAAUCAAAUUAAGAGUCUCACAAAGACCCGAGAUUCUGUGGCUUUACAUCUUGAGCAUGAAAACAAAACGCUCCAUGCUACUCUGGAUGACAUCUACCGACAACAAGAAGCACAGAGGAGUGAGAUCUCUGAGAUGCUACUUCAGGAAGGUCUGGCUGAUAUUAUUCCCAUCAGCCUGAGUGAACAGGUGGCGUACCUCCUCGCAGACAGAGCCUCCCUGCUGGAGAAAACACAAAGCCAGGAGAAUGUGGACGGGAAGACCGCACAGGAGCCUGAUGUCCGUAAGGAGCAAACGUCAAAGGAGUGUAGAGAGAAUGUGGUCAAAAAGGUGGCACCACCAGACAUUCAGAGCCCUUGGAAGAGGCUUCUAGGACUCAGAAAGGCUGCUCAGAGUGAACAGAAAUUACUGCCUACGGUUGACCUGCAGUUCAGCAGGGAUGACACACUGAAGGGACGAACAUUGCAGGAACUGGAGCGAGAUGUAGAAGAGGCCUCUGCUCGACUCGCCAUGGCCCACAAGGAGAUCCGCAGACUCACGGAUGAGCUGGAGUCUGCUCACCUGACCCAAAAGGCUUAUGAACCAGAGCUGCAAGAAGCUCAAAUGGAAGUCGAGCACCUCCGUCAUGAAGUGGAGAAACUGAAACGCUGUGAAGUUGUUGAAUUGAGAAAAACGAAAGAGAUAAAUGAGAAACAGGAAGAAGAGCUGUGUCACCUUAGAGAGACGGUGAAGAGGCUACAGGCGGAGCAUGUGCAUUUGCUUGAAAUGGUAAGAUAAUCAUGGAAAAAGAUUAAUAAAUAUUCUAGAAAAUCGAUGUUCAAAAGUUUGGGGUCAGUAAGAUUUUUAUUUUUUUUAUUAAUUUAAAGGUACUUUAAUUCUGUGAGGAUGCACUAAAUUAAUCAAAAAAUGUCAGUAAAGACAUAUAAUGUUACAAAGGAUUUCUUUUUAAAAUAAAUGCAGUAACUUUCCAAAAAAAGUUUAUUUGUUAAGCAGCAAAUCAGCAUAUUAGAAUGAUUUCUGAAGGAUUGUGUGACAUUGAAGACUGAAGUAAUGAUGCUGAAAAUUCAGCUUUGAUCACAGGAAUAAAUUAAAUUUUAAAAUACAUAGAUAUAAUUCGAUGUGUGCAAUGAGGACAGCCCAUUAAACAUACUGUUCUCUCAAUCAUUCAGCUCAGAAAUCAUUAAAGAAAGCU
rnacentral:lncRNA from 1 species